AACGUAGGACGCAAGCGUUAUCCGGAGUUACUGGGCGUAAAGCGCGGGCAGGCGGCUCGAAACGUCUGAUGUGAAAUCUCCGAGCUUAACUCGGAACGGUCAACUGAUACUGCUCGGCUAGAGUGCGGAAGGGGCAACUGGAAUUCUUGGUGUAGCGGUGAAAUGCGUAGAUAUCAAGAGGAACACCUGCGGCGAAGGCGGGUUGCUGGGCCGACACGUGACGCUGAGGCGCGAAAGCUAGGGGAGCGAACGGG
rnacentral:rRNA from 1 species